rnacentral:rRNA from 1 species
UGCCAGCCGCCGCGGUAAUACGGAGGGUGCGAGCGUUAAUCGGAAUUACUGGGCGUAAAGCGCGCGUAGGCGGCUUGGUCAGUCGAAUGUGAAAGCCCUGGGCUUAACCUGGGAAUUGCACUCGAUACUGCCAGGCUAGAGUAUGGGAGAGGGAAGCGGAAUUUCCGGUGUAGCGGUGAAAUGCGUAGAUAUCGGAAGGAACACCAGUGGCGAAGGCGGCUUCCUGGCCCAAUACUGACGCUGAGGUGCGAAAGCGUGGGUAGCGAACAGGAUUAGAUA